CUAAAAGUGCUGUUUUUGCCACUGACAAGGCUCAGAUUAUUAUUCCAAGUGUCUGACGACAUUAUGGAAUGGGUUCACAGAGACAG